AUUGAACGCUGGCGGCAUGCCUUACACAUGCAAGUCGAACGGUAACAGGUCUUCGGAUGCUGACGAGUGGCGAACGGGUGAGUAAUACAUCGGAACGUGCCCGAUCGUGGGGGAUAACGAGGCGAAAGCUUUGCUAAUACCGCAUACGAUCUACGGAUGAAAGCGGGGGAUCUUCGGACCUCGCGCGGACGGAGCGGCCGAUGGCGGAUUAGGUAGUUGGUGGGAUAAAAGCUUACCAAGCCGACGAUCUGUAGCUGGUCUGAGAGGAUGAUCAGCCACACUGGGACUGAGACACGGCCCAGACUCCUACGGGAGGCAGCAGUGGGGAAUUUUGGACAAUGGGCGAAAGCCUGAUCCAGCCAUGCCGCGUGCAGGAUGAAGGCCUUCGGGUUGUAAACUGCUUUUGUACGGAACGAAAAGCCUCUUUCUAAUAAAGAGGGGUCAUGACGGUACCGUAAGAAUAAGCACCGGCUAACUACGUG
rnacentral:rRNA from 1 species